GAGUUUGAUCCUGGCUCAGGACUAACGCUGGCGGCGUGCCUAACACAUGCAAGUCGAGCGGGGUAGCAAUACCCAGCGGCAGACGGGUGAGUAACGCGUAAAUAACGUGCCCCUUUGUUUGGGAUAGCUGGCCGAAAGGCCAGGUAAUACCGGAUGUGGUUCUCGAGAGACAUCUCUUGGGAAAGAAAGCAGCAAUGCGCAAGGGGAUCGGUUUGCGACCUAUCAGCUAGUUGGCGAGGUAACGGCUCACCAAGGCUUCGACGGGUAGCCGGUCUGAGAGGAUGAUCCGCCACACUGGGACUGAGACACGGCCCAGACUCCUACGGGAGGCAGCAGUGGGGAAUUUUGGACAAUGGACGAAAGUCUGAUCCAGCCAUGCCGCGUGAGUGAAGAAGG
rnacentral:rRNA from 1 species